rnacentral:rRNA from 1 species
GACGAACGCUGGCGGCGUGCCUAAUACAUGCAAGUAGAACGCUGAAGGAGGAGCUUGCUCUUCUGGAUGAGUUGCGAACGGGUGAGUAACGCGUAGGUAACCUGCCUGGUAGCGGGGGAUAACUAUUGGAAACGAUAGCUAAUACCGCAUAACAGUAGAUGUUGCAUGACAUUUGCUUAAAAGGUGCAAUUGUAUCACUACCAGAUGGACCUGCGUUGUAUUAGCUAGUUGGUGGGGUAACGGCUCACCAAGGAGACGAGACAUAGCCGGCCUGGGAGGGGGGAUCGCCCACAUGGGAACUGAGACAGGGCCAAAAUCCUUCGGGGAGGAGCAAGAAGGGAACUUCGGGAAUAGGCCGAAAGCUGGACGGAGAACGGCGGGGGGGGGGAUGAGGGUUUCGGGACGUUAAAACCUGGUGUUUAGGGAGGACGAAAGGUGGAGUGGAAAAUUCACGCUGUGACGGUAUCUAACCAGAAAGGGACGGCUAACUACGUG